AGAAAAAAUUACCUUAGGGAUAACAGCGUAAUAUCUUUUAAAAGAUCACAUUAAUAAAGAUGUUUGCGACCUCGAUGUUGAAUUAAGAUAAAUUUUAAGUGCAGUAGCUUAAUAAAUUAAGUCUGUUCGACUUUUAAAAUCUUACAUGAUUUGAGUUCAGAUCGACGUAAGUCAGAUCGGUUUCUAUCU
rnacentral:ncRNA from 1 species